CCUAACGCACAGUUAUUUUGCUGAGGAUGAUUCCAGAGGCAAUUUGGAACUUGUUAGUGAGUGAUUGAACAGAGGUUCUAUGUGCUUCAGCACUCGGCGGUCCCACUCUUUUCGACACUCCUCCCACUGCCAGAGGAGCUCAGCUGAGGCCACUGUGUCUGAUUCAUUUCAUCACCAGGAGUCCAACAUGCUCAUAAUUCUUCUAAUUUUAGCAGUUUAUCUUUUUACAGGCCAAGGGGAUAAAAGUGGUGUUUUCCAGGAACCUAAUAUUAUUUGGGGUUCUCCAGGGAGCUCUGUAGAAAUGAACUGCAGUCAUAAUAAAGACAUCAGCCACAGACAAAUGUACUGGUUCAGGCAGUUUCCAGGAGAGGGAAUGACACGCAUUGCAUUCACGUUUGUUGGUGGUGAACCGGACUAUGGAAACUUCAGCAAAAACAAAUAUGAGGCUGUGAAAACUGUAGCUGAGAGUGGAUCUUUCACAGUGAAGAACCUGGAUUCAGGGGACAGUGCUCUGUAUUUCUGUGCUGUCAGUAAGCACUGUGGUGAAAACUCACUACAGCACUGA